rnacentral:rRNA from 1 species
UAGGGAAUCUUCGGCAAUGGACGAAAGUCUGACCGAGCAACGCCGCGUGAGUGAAGAAGGUUCUCGGAUCGUAAAACUCUGUUGUUAGAGAAGAACAAGGACGUUAGUAACUGAACGUCCCCUGACGGUAUCUAACCAGAAAGCCACGGCUAACUACGUGCCAGCAGCCGCGGUAAUACGUAGGUGGCAAGCGUUGUCCGGAUUUAUUGGGCGUAAAGCGAGCGCAGGCGGUUUCUUAAGUCUGAUGUGAAAGCCCCCGGCUCAACCGGGGAGGGUGAGUAGAAACUGGGAGACGUGAGUGCAGAAGAGGAGAGUGGAAUUCCAUGUGUAGCGGUGAAAUGCGUAGAUAUAUGGAGGAACACCAGUGGCGAAGGCGGCUCUCUGGUCUGUAACUGACGCUGAGGCUCGAAAGCGUGGGGAGAAAACAGG